rnacentral:tRNA from 1 species
GGCUCCGUAGUUCAACUGGAUAGAAUAUCAGAUUUCGGCUCUGACGGUUAUAGGUUCGAAUCCUAUCGGAGUCA